UGGGGAAUAUUGCACAAUGGGCGCAAGCCUGAUGCAGCGACGCCGCGUGCGGGAUGACGGCCUUCGGGUUGUAAACCGCUUUUGACUGGGAGCAAGCCUUACGGGGUGAGUGUAC
rnacentral:rRNA from 1 species